ensembl:lncRNA
AUCAGAGGCCAGGAAGUAUCUUUAUUCUGCUUUCCUAGUGGCUGGGUUAAUGGAUCAAUGACGGUUCAUAAAGAACAAAUUGCAGCAAACAAGGACUGUCAUUCUGUCCUUAGCCAGCUUUGCUAGGAGAGAAAGGGAAGAUGGUGGACAUCUGACAUUUGGUGAAGCUCUUGGUUGUAUAUCACAGAAUGCUAACUGGAAAUGAAUUCCUAUUGGUUUGCUUAUGAGAAUAGUCCAGCAGAUUGAAUUGGAAGAUUAUGGGUCCAGUAAACAAAGAGCUGUGAAUGUUUGGAUCCCUCCAAGCAAGGAGUGCUGGCCUCUCCCAGUUAUUCUGGGUACUGCAAUGAUAAAGGAAAGUAAGGUCACAUCAUCAAAUCUCUGCCAAGGGAAACACAUCUAAUGGCGAGACGGCAUGUCUGAAGCAAAUGGAUAAAAAUCUCAUUUCCAAGCUAUUGGAUCCAAAAUUAUGCAGAUUAAAAUCAAAUCCUUUUUGGUUGUUGUUGUUGGGUUUUUGUG